rnacentral:lncRNA from 1 species
UCUGGCAGGAGACAUGACUAGUGGUGCCAUCUUUGUUCUGUCCUUCCCUUCUGCUCAGAACAUGGAUCUGAUGCUUGGCAGCAGCAGCAGCACCGUCCUGAUGAUAAGGGCAAGCAAAGACAACUGUAGAGACACUGGUGCCGGUGACAUUAAGUCCUCCGUGUCCGGUGGAAAAACCCUCUUAAAGAAUGCAGAUGCCCAAGGAGAGGAAACCUUUUAUGCAUACCUUGUCAUUUAUCGGCAUUGAUGACUGGCUUGCUGAGAGGCAGUUUUCAUUGAGCAAUCACUGAGAGGAACCAUCGUCUGCCCAGAGAAAGCAGUAGAAGAGAUCCAGAGCUACUACCUCUUAGUGGCACUGAUCCACAGGGCUCUGGGUUGAUUUGGAAUGAGCUGUGACUCCUGAAGAAUUCUCAUAGAUUCCUGCCUGGGCGGGAGUGGGAGGCAGGAUAAUGUCCAUACCCAUGUUCUAAUCCCUGGACCUGUUAAUAUAUCACAUUACAUGGCCAAGGGGAAUUAAGGUAGCAGAGGAAUUAAGGUAGCUAAUUAGCUAGCUUGAUGAUAGGGAGAUUAUCCUGAAUUAUCUGGAUGACCCCAAUGACAUCACAGGAUCCUUCAAAGAAAAAAAUGAAGGCAAAAGAAGGAGAUAGAGAAUUGGAAGGAGAUGGGAAGACAGUACCAGGUAGAAAUGAUCUAAGGCUCAAGACCAUUGCUAGUUUGAAGGUGGAAGAACGGCUCACAGUUAAGGAAUGUGCAUGACCUCCAAAGCUGGAAAAGGCAAGGAAAUGGAUUCUCCCCUCCAGACGGGAAUGCAGCCUGACCCACAGCUUGUUUUCAGGCCAGUGAGACCCAUGUCAGACUUCUGUCCUGGAGAACUGGAGGCUAAUAAAUUUGUGUUGUUUUAAGUCAUUUUGUUUGUGGUAAAAAUAUUUAUUCAUUAAUUGAUUCCCUUAUUCAUUCAGCAAAUAUUACUGAGCUUCUACUUUGAGUUGAGCACUUUUAUAGAUGUUGGGGAUAUAGUAAGAAUAAAACAGAUUUAAAGUAACCUCUAUGGAGUGCCUGGAUGGCUCGGUUGGUUAAGCGUCUGCCUUUGGCUCAAGUCAUGAUCCCUGGGUCCUGGGAUCAAGCCCAAGCCUGGCAUCAGGCUCUCCGCUCAGCAGGGAGUCUGCUUCUCCCUCCCCCUCUGCCCACUCCCCCAGCUUGUGCUUGCUCUCUUUUGCUCUAUUUCAAAUAAAUAAAUAACUUUUUAAAAAAAUAUUUUAUUUAUUUAUUUGACUAAUAGAGAGUGCAAGCAGGGGGAAUGGCAGGCAGAAGGAGAGAGAGAGGGAGAAGCAGACUCCCCACAGAGCAGGGAGCCUCCAAUGUGGGGCUCCAUCCCAGGACCCCAGGAUCAUGAUCUGAGCCAAAGGCAGACGCUUACCCGACUGAGCCACCCAGGCACCCCUAAAAUCUUAAGAACAAAGCAAAACAAAACAAACAUCACCUCUACUCUCACAAAAGCUUUCUAUUUAUUAGAGGAGAAGCGGUUUGUUUGUGUGUUUGUUUUAAUUAAGUGAAACCUACUGGUAUUAUGUAGUUUAGAGGCCAGAAGUGCUAUUGUGGAAGAAUAAAAAAGUGAAGGAGAGCAGGGAGAAGUGGGGAGGGGGUUGCCAUGAAGGUAACACCGCCAAGUUAUGUUUGAGCCCAGUUGGCUACGUGGGGGAGGAACCUUCCAGGCGGAGUGGCAGCAGGUACAAAGCCCAGAGAUGAGGGUGUGCCAGGGUGGUCCAGCAGGAGCAAGGAAGCCCGUGUGCCUGGAGCUGAGGGCGUGAGGACAAGGACGAUAAAACCAGAGAGUCUGUGGAGCUGGCUUUAGAGAGGCCACCGGAAACCUCUGGCAUUUACCCUGAGUCUGGGAGCCCUCAUCUUCACCUGAGAAGGAUGGCUCUUGUGGCUGGUACCUAGCAGGCUGCUAGGGCCAUGAGGGGAAGCUGGGGCACAUGUAGUGAGGAAGGGGGGAGGGAGGGACAGCGGAGCUGGGCAGAAGGAUCCUAACCAGGACAUAGUUUGAGGACAGAGCUUAGAGCACUUGGCGAUGAAGGGGGUGUGCGCUGUGCGAGGCCGAGGGCCGAGCAUGUGGCCUGAGCGCCUGCACGGGCAGGGCCGUGGGCCGCAGAGGCAGCGCCCGGCAGAGAAGCGGGCUGGGGCUGCGCGUUGGGCAUAUUUGAGAUGCUGAUCUCACGUCCAAGUGCAGGUGUCAACUAAGUAGCUGGAAAUACACAUCUGGAGUUCAGAGGCGAGAUCCAGACUGGAGAUGAAAAUUUGCAACAUGGUCACGUUAAAUACAGGAAUAUGGACCGGCCUGAGGCUGGGUGAGCUCACAGGGAUGGGCCUCGGAGAGAAGGAAGAGACCAGAGGCCUGAGUCUGGAGGAGUGGCAGUGUCUCCUCCCUGGGACACAGGGAGGAACCAGCAGACGUGGGAGGAGUGACAGGUGAGAAACUGGGAGGACUCAGUGCCUGGUCCAAGGAGGGGUUUCAAGAACAAAGUGAUUGUUUGUCUGAAAUGCUGCUGAGAUGACUCGUCGGAUGAGCUGGAUA